rnacentral:rRNA from 1 species
GGGCGGAAGCCUGAUCCAGCAACGCCGCGUGAGGGAUGACGGCCUUCGGGUUGUAAACCUCUUUCAGUACCGACGAAGCGAAAGUGACGGUAGGUACAGAAGAAGCACCGGCCAACUACGUGCCAGCAGCCGCGGUAAUACGUAGGGUGCGAGCGUUGUCCGGAAUUAUUGGGCGUAAAGGGCUCGUAGGCGGUUUGUCGCGUCGGGAGUGAAAACACUGGGCUUAACUCAGUGCUUGCUUCCGAUACGGGCAGACUAGAGGCAUGCAGGGGAGAACGGAAUUCCUGGUGUAGCGGUGAAAUGCGCAGAUAUCAGGAGGAACACCGGUGGCGAAGGCGGUUCUCUGGGCAUGUCCUGACGCUGAGGAGCGAAAGUGUGGGGAGCGAACAGGAUUAGAUACCCUGGUAGUCCACACCGUAAACGUUGGGCGCUAGGUGUGGGGCCUAUUCCAUGGGUUCCGUGCCGCAGCUAACGCAUUAAGCGCCCCGCCUGGGGAGUACGGCC